rnacentral:tRNA from 1 species
GCCUAAGUAGCUAAAUUUUGAUAGCAUUGCUUUGAAGCAGCAAAGGUGGGCGUAUUGUUCCCUUAGGCA